rnacentral:tRNA from 1 species
CAGGGAGACAACAAAAUGUAAAUAAUAAUUUUGUCACCUUAGGUCGAUCGGUAUCUCACAUUCUUAAUUUAUUAAGGAUUUUAUUUCCUAAGUUUUUUCUAGGUCACACCCAUUACUUUUCCUGGGCCAUUAGCUCAGGUGGUUAGAGCGCACCCCUGAUAAGGGUGAGGUCCCUGGUUCAAGUCCAGGAUGGCCCAUAUCUCUAUGUUGGGGGUAUAGCUCAGUUGGUAGAGCGCCUGCUUUGCAAGCAGGAUGUCAGCGGUUCGAGUCCGCUUACCUCCACUGAUUACCACCUCUUCCGUAAUUUAUAGAAAGGAAUUGUUUUGAGUUGUGAUCGAAUUCUGAACGAAUCUAGCUUCCUAAUGAAAUCAUUAAGAUGCUGGACUCAUUGAAUUAUUUUCAUUGUUUUCAGAGAACCUUGACAACUGCAUAGAUUAUUUUUAAAGACAAUAAGCAUCUUUAAUGAUGCAGAUUUAUUAUUUGUGCGAAUGCAUUAAUAACAAUUCUAUUAAGCUGAUGCUUCAAUUUUGAAGUUAUU